rnacentral:rRNA from 1 species
UACGGAGGAUGCGAGCGUUAUCCGGAUUUAUUGGGCUUAAAGGGUGCGUAGGCGGUCCGUUAAGUCAGCGGUAAAAUUGCGGGGCUCAACCCCGUCGAGCCGUUGAAACUGGCAGACUUGAGUUGGCGAGAAGUACGCGGAAUGCGCGGUGUAGCGGUGAAAUGCAUAGAUAUCGCGCAGAACUCCGAUUGCGAAGGCAGCGUACCGGCGCCAGACUGACGCUGAGGCACGAAAGCGUGGGGAUCGAACAGG